rnacentral:tmRNA from 1 species
GGGGAUGACUGGUUUCGACGGUGUUCGUCGCGACAGGUGAAGCGGGCCGAGGAUACAGGGUUAUCUCGUAAACGCUCUCUGUAAACCAAUAAGUGCCAAAACAUCGCGCACUGACUUCGCUCUUGCUGCCUAAGCAGUAAGACAGUCCGUCAGACCGGGUCUGCUCUCGCCCCGGAUCCUGGCGUCAGUUAGAGGGCCACUGCUCUACGCCUUUGUUACAGGGGCAUAGGGGACACUUAUGUAACUGAGCCUGGCAGCUACUCGUUUGCAGGAUAGCUGGGGCUGAGAAAAACCGACGCAAACUGCGCCCGGAGAAGACCUGACAACACAACAUCGGACGGGGGUUCAAUUCCCCCCAUCUCCACUA